AGAGCGAACGCUGGCGGCAGGCCUAACACAUGCAAGUCGAACGGACCCUUCGGGGUUAGUGGCGGACGGGUGAGUAACACGUGGGAACGUGCCUUUUGGUUCGGAAUAGCUCCUGGAAACGGGUGGUAAUGCCGAAUGUGCCCUUCGGGGGAAAGAUUUAUCGCCAUUAGAGCGGCCCGCGUCUGAUUAGCUAGUUGGUGAGGUAAUGGCUCACCAAGGCGACGAUCAGUAGCUGGUCUGAGAGGAUGACCAGCCACAUUGGGACUGAGACACGGCCCAAACUCCGUACGGGAGGCAGCAGUGGGGAAUCGUUGCGCAAGUGGGACGAAAGCCUGGACGCAGGCCAUCGCCGCGUGAAUGAAUGAAGGUCGUUAAGGAUUUAGUAAAAUUCGUUUACCGACCGGGGUAACGAUAAGUGAACCGGUACCCGGAGAACGAACGCCCCG
rnacentral:rRNA from 1 species